UAUAGGGAAAAACAUAGUUUCUGUGGAGCAUAGUACUAUCCCAGGUGUCACGCAUCCGCUGGGGGUCUUGGACCGUAUUGCCCAAGGAUAAGAGGGGACCGCUGUAUGUACUUUGAACAGAGCAGUGACGGUCUGAAGAGGGUAGAGAUUUGAGAUAAGGAUGCACAUCUAUUUCUUUCUUGUGGACAACAUGUUUAUGGAUAUGAAAUCACACUCACCUCUUGCUUAGAAAGCAGCAGCGAUUUGCUCGAUGGAGUGGCACGUGUUUACUCUCACUGAUGCUGUUUGAGGUGAUCCGUUUUCCUGGUAACAGACAGAAUGUGUUCCUUUCUGCGAAUUCACAGAAGCUCCAACGCUGCAGUUCCUUGGGAGGAAACUCUGCUGUUAGGCACUAUAAUUUUUGAUUUUGCAGUUCACAUGAUGUCUCAGAAGAGGGAUAUGUCUUUUCUAACAACCGUCAUUUUUAUAUAAAAUGGAAGGUAUUCACAUUA